rnacentral:rRNA from 1 species
CUACGGGCGGGCAGCAGUGGGGAAUAUUGGACAAUGGGCGAAAGCCUGAUCCAGCCAUGCCGCGUGUGUGAAGAAGGCCUUCGGGUUGUAAAGCACUUUCAGUGGGGAAGAAAGCCUUGGGGCUAAUACCCUCGAGGAAGGACAUCACCCACAGAAGAAGCACCGGCUAACUCCGUGCCAGCAGCCGCGGUAAUACGGAGGGUGCGAGCGUUAAUCGGAAUUACUGGGCGUAAAGCGCGCGUAGGCGGUCUGAUAAGCCGGUUGUGAAAGCCCCGGGCUCAACCUGGGAACGGCAUCCGGAACUGUCAGGCUAGAGUGCAGGAGAGGAAGGUAGAAUUCCCGGUGUAGCGGUGAAAUGCGUAGAGAUCGGGAGGAAUACCAGUGGCGAAGGCGGCCUUCUGGACUGACACUGACGCUGAGGUGCGAAAGCGUGGGUAGCAAACAGGAUUAGAUACCCCUGUAGUC